rnacentral:rRNA from 1 species
GUAGGUGGCAAGCGUUGUCCGGAAUUAUUGGGCGUAAAGCGCGCGCAGGCGGUCCUUUAAGUCUGAUGUGAAAGCCCACGGCUCAACCGUGGAGGGUCAUUGGAAACUGGGGGACUUGAGUACAGAAGAGGAAAGCGGAAUUCCAAGUGUAGCGGUGAGAUGCGUAGAGAUUUGGAGGAACACCAGUGGCGAAGGCGGCUUUCUGGUCUGUAACUGACGCUGAGGCGCGAAAGCGUGGGGAGCAAACAGGGAUUAGAUACCCUGGUAGUCCACGCCGUAAACGAUGAGUGCUAAGUGUUAGGGGGUUUCCCGCCCCUUAGUGCUGCAGCUAACGCAUUAAGCACUCCGCCUGGGGAUACGGCCGCAAGGCUG